GGAUGGAUACAGCUCAGUGGAAGAACACAUGCUUAGCAUGCACGAGGUCCUGGGUUCAAUUCUCAGUACCUCCA
rfam:Camelus ferus unplaced genomic scaffold scaffold599, whole genome shotgun sequence.